GGCAAUAUCUCUCCUCUCUCACCUGC
rnacentral:piRNA from 1 species